CCUACGGGAGGCAGCAGUAAGGAAUAUUGGUCAAUGGACGCAAGUCUGAACCAGCCAUGCCGCGUGCAGGAUGACGGCCCUCUGGGUUGUAAACUGCUUUUAUAGGGGACGAAAAAAGGGCUUUCUAGCUCGUCUGACGGUACCCUAGGAAUAAGCACCGGCUAACUCCGUGCCAGCAGCCGCGGUAAUACGGAGGGUGCAAGCGUUAUCCGGAUUUACUGGGUUUAAAGGGUGCGUAGGUGGGUCGGUAAGUCAGCGGUGAAAUCUUCGAGCUUAACUCGGAAACUGCCAUUGAUACUAUCGAUCUUGAAUCAUCUGGAGGUAAGCGGAAUAUGUCAUGUAGCGGUGAAAUGCUUAGAUAUGACAUAGAACACCAAUUGCGAAGGCAGCUUACUACGGAUGCAUUGACACUGAGGCACGAAAGCGUGGGGAUCAAACAGGAUUAGAUACCCUGGUAGUCCACGCCCUAAACCGAUGGAUACUCGACAUUUGAGAUAUACUUUAAGUGUCUGAGCGAAAGCAUUAAGUAUCCACCUGGGAAGUACGAUUGCAAGAUUGAACUUCAAAUUGAGUUAGAGGCGNGAGACGNGCCGACGGACGACGACGAGGGAGGAGG
rnacentral:rRNA from 1 species